rnacentral:rRNA from 1 species
UGAGGAAUAUUGGGUCAAUGGGCGAGAGCCUGAACCAGCCAAGUCGCGUGAAGGAUGAAGGUUCUAUGGAUUGUAAACUUCUUUUAUUCGAGGGUAAAGUGAGGUAUGUAUACCUUAUUGCAAGUAUCGAAUGAAUAAGCAUCGGCUAAUUCCGUGCCAGCAGCCGCGGUAAUACGGAAGGUCCGGGCGUUAUCCGGAUUUAUUGGGUUUAAAGGGAGCGUAGGCCGGAGGGUAAGCGUGUUGUGAAAUGCAGUUGCUCAACAUCUGCACUGCAGCGCGAACUGUUCUCCUUGAGUGCGCAGGAAGUAGGCGGAAUUCGUCGUGUAGCGGUGAAAUGCUUAGAUAUGACGAAGAACUCCGAUUGGGAAGCCAGCUUACUGUAGCGCCACUGACGCUGAUGCUCGAAAGUGCGGGGUA